rnacentral:rRNA from 1 species
AGUGAACGCUGGCGGUAGGCCUAACACAUGCAAGUCGAACGGCAGCACAGUAAGAGCUUGCUCUUACGGGUGGCGAGUGGCGGACGGGUGAGGAAUACAUCGGAAUCUACUUUUUCGUGGGGGAUAACGUAGGGAAACUUACGCUAAUACCGCAUACGACCUACGGGUGAAAGCAGGGGAUCUUCGGACCUUGCGCGAUUGAAUGAGCCGAUGUCGGAUUAGCUAGUUGGCGGGGUAAAGGCCCACCAAGGCGACGAUCCGUAGCUGGUCUGAGAGGAUGAUCGGCCACACUGGAACUGAGACACGGUCCAAACGCCUACGGGAGGCAGCAGUGGGAAGUAUUGGACACUGGGCGCAAGCCUGAUCCAGCCGUACCGCGUGGGUGAAGAAGGCCUUCGGGUUGUAAAGCCGUUUUGUUGGGAAAGAAAAGCAGCGGGUUAAUACCCCGCUGUUCUGACGGUACCCAAAGAAUAAGCACCGGCUAACUUCGU